GCGGUGUCUUGGGGUGGGUAGCAAUGGGAUGGGGUGAGACAGGGGAAGGAUGAAGGUCAGGUAGACUUAUUUGCCUUAUGGGGUCAGUAGAACCUUGGAUAUGUUUGUUUUUGGUUUUUGUAUUUUGCAAAAAUAAACAAUUUUUAACAAGUAGACGACAUCGAGUUGCAUUGGAGUAAAAGACAACCAGACUUGGGGGUAAGGAUCUGGUCCUGAUUUCUCGAAACAAACUUAAGUUUUUACUCAAAUUUCAAACUGAGUUUGACAAUUUGAAACAACUGAAGUUUUAACUCAACUGCAUUUUUAAAAUAAAAGCCCAAACAACUUAAGUAAUCUAUCCACUAAACUCUAAUUGCCUACUAUGUUUGAGUUUAAUAUCGAUUUUGGUUCUUUCUGGGAAAUGCAUUCUCCUGCCUUUUCUCAAAUUUGAGUAAAAACUCUAACUUAAGUCAUAAUUCAGACUUAAGUUUGUUUCGAGAAAUCGGGGCCUGGAGGCAUAGGGAGUUGUAAAGGCUGGACAUAGUAAUGGUGUUUAUGUUCAGGAAGAUCUUUCAAUACCUGUCCGUUCUACAGCACCUUUACAGAUGAAGGAAAACUAAGUUCUAUGGAUAGUCAACUUCUUUACAGAUGUCUCAAGCCUCUCCAGAUGUCUGUUGAUUCUCUGUCGAUGGCGUGGGAUUCUAUGUCACAACAGUGUUCGAUCAUUUAGGGGGGACUCUAUUUUUGAAUGUGGGGUUGGGGUGGGGAUGGGGGAGGAGAGCAGAGGGGCAGGUGGAUCAGUGCUGCAGCCAGACCGCGUAAUUGCGGGAUUUCCGCUAAUUGUACUUACCUUUGCACUUUAUUUAUAUUUUUAUAAUUUUCAACCCAUUUUUAUUGGGUGCGUAAUUAAUUUCAAUAUUUUUCAUUGAAAACUAUGUCAAACAUUUGGAAAUCAAAAUCAAAUGUUGAAACUUCCGGAAUUCAAAACAAGGCUUCCUAAGCUCUCCACAUUGUGAGUACGUCUAUUUGCAUACUAAACUGUAAUAUGAAUCGGAGCUUGAGUUUAUGUACCUAGUUGAUCAUAGUUUUGUCACGUUUGGUUAUUCUUGCACAUUUUCUAAAGGUAGGGGCUAACUGGUGCUUUCCAAGGAAAUCCUGGCUGCAGCGCAGGUGGCUUGUUUCUGAAAGGUUCUUUCAAAACAUAGAGUUUGAUUUUGAAGAAAUUGUUGAAAUAUUUUGUUAAUUUUCAUGUAAAUGUUAAAUCUAAGGUGUAUAUUGAACAGGUUGCUUCGGAAGGAGAUUAAAAGAGUGGUUGUCAGGAGUUUUCUUUCAUUUUUCUCAUCCAAGACAUGUUUUACUUUUAUAAGAAAGAAUCCUGCCACCCCAAAGACUGACAUGUUACUGAAUGAAAGUGUCCUUGUUUGGUUGAUUUUAGACUAGGCUCACAAUGUGAGUUGUUUGACACAAGCAGUCAAACAUCAUGUGCUUUAGUCAAACAUGCUUUGGACAAGUAUGCUGAUAUAAUUAUUGUUAACGAUGUGAGACCUGAAUAAAGGCUUUGUGUACAUUCCAGGAAGAAUCAUGACAUUUGACUGUUGUUUUCAUACAGAGUGAAAGUGUGUUAUGUGCAUUUAUAUCAUCGGUGUAUAUAAGUGUUAUAUCACCAGAGUUGAUUCUUGUAGCUCAUACUGUGUACAUAGACAGGUAUCAACAUGGGGAGAUCAGGGAGUGAAAUUAUCUUAAAAUAUUCCUGGCCAGGUGGACUUGCCGCCAGUUUCAGAUAUCACUUGUGUUAUGAUCAACAUGAUGUGCAUGAAAAAUUAAUUUUCGACAAUUAAAUUUUACUUGCAGACUUGGUUUGUAACAAACUAUGUGCAAAGAAACAAAUUUCAGUCCCUUGAAUUUAUCCUACUGAUGUUUAGCUAUAUUUUAAAUGUAUGAAAUAACUACAUGCCCAUGGUUUCCAUUUCAUUUGGGCUACACUGAAUUGUCAGGUCUGGACCCGAUUAUUUACAGACUGCCGCCAUAUAGCUGGAUUAUUGCUGAGUGCGGCUUAAACAACAAACAGACAAACAAUGAACUGCUCUAAAGAUUCUGAAAUAUUUAUAUUGAAUAAGCCAUAACAUUUUGGGGGAUAAUCAGAUAUGUCAUUAAUUGUUUGAUCAGCAUUCUAGAAGCUGGUGAGUCAAAAUGAAACAUACAACUUUAUGGAUGAGAUUGACAACUUCUUGUUUAUUGCGUUAAGCGACGUUUCGAUGUAGAUUCAUACAUCACUAUCAAGCUAAAGGGAUCUACAUCAAACGUCGCUUAAUGCUAUAAACAAGAAGUUGUCCUCGAUAAAGUUGUAUGUUUCAUUUUUAGAUGUGUCAUUAAUUUCAAAUAUACACUUACUUUAUUAUAAGAACCAGGGCCUAGAUUUUCAAAGCUCUCUUUGCGCUAAGAUAGUCGUAAGUGCCAUACAUUAACAUUAACUUACGACUAUCUUAGCACUAAGAGAGCUUCGAAAAUCUAGGCCCAGUUUUGUGUAUGAAAAGUGGGUGGUAUACACGUACAUGUCAUUGUGGUGCUAGUUUCUGUUUUCAGUUACAGCUACUUACAAAUACUGCAUCGGUAGAUUUCACAGUCAUGACAUUUUCCAAUAAAUUUGUGAUGUUCCACUGUGGGCAGUGAAGGAACUAAACGGUUCACUGUGGGUUUUCAUGUUGUAUGGAGAGCUUGUAACAAUAGAAAUCAGAGGGGGCUUUUGAAAUUGUUGGUUACAAUUGUUGGUACAUUAUACCAGUGUUGGUUAAAACCGUUAGCACUCUGUAUUCAUGUUGGUUAUGAUCGUUGGUACGUUGUAUCUGUGUUUAUAUGAACCAUAUUCUACUGUACAGUGAAACUGAAUCCUUUAACUAAAUACAAUUCUGUGGUGUGUUUGGAUUAUUGGUUAAUGCAUUUUGUAUCCUGAGUUGUAUUGCUAUCAAUACAAUUUGCGAUACUUGAGUUGUACUGAUACAAUUUACAAUUACUUGGGUUGUACUGAUACAGUUUGCGAUACAUGAGCUGUAUCGAUACAUGUAGGGAUGCUUGAGGAAUGCAUUGGUACAUGCUUUUUUUCCCAUUGUUUUUACGUGAACUUCUCCGUGUUCCUAGGGUCCAGCUAGGAUGAUGUUGUUAGUAUCUACCAGAUUGUAUUUAUCUUGAAUUACUCAUAUAGUGUUUUCUAAUUUAUUAUGCAGUCAGAUUUAGCAUUUUCAUUUGUGAAAAGGUUAGAUUCUACUUUUCUCAGGCAUGGUAUUCCAAAUAUUCUAAGCGUUUAAAUUUCGAAAUUUUUUGAAUUAUAGAUUGGAUUGAUUCUUUUUAUUCUGUUUUGCGGGAUACAUUGCUGAACUGUGGCAUUGCAAGUGCAGCCUAUAUCAACUGCCUAGUAACUGUUGUAUUAUCAACACUUGUACUGUCCACGACUGCAUCUGUUUGGAAAAUAUAACUCUUUUAUAAUUUUUCAUGGUUAUAAGUGCCUCAUUUGUCAAAUUUCCAUGCACUCAGGUCUAUUAUUGUGUUAAAUAUGGUAUCAAGAAAGUGAUAUAAAAUUCAUAGCAUUGGAUUUGUUUAAAUUCUGGCUAGGAUGAUAGCAAAGGAAUUGAAACAAAUUUGCCCUUUUGGUAGUUAGAAAUGCUUUUUAAAGAUUUUU